CAUCCUGGGUUGAUUGGGAUAUAAAUACUGAGUCAAAGUGUUCCUCUUUGUCACACACUGUGCAGAUGGUCUGACUUUCUUGCAAGAAUAAAACCCGUUUUUUUCUUAUUCUACAAUACUCUGAGAGUUAUUGCCUCACAAUAAGAGUUGGAAACAUUUUACCAUUACAAGGAGAGCGUCUCAGGGUGAAGUUCUCAUGGCGUCUCUCCAUACAUUACUGAUUCUGUGUGGAUGUGCCACAGCCCUGUGUUUGGAAAUACAGUGAUUGAUGUGGAUAAUGGAAAAGGCCAGGAUAUAUUUGAAAUAAAUGAAGCGGCAGGACUUGACCUGGUGGAAGGAGACAUUCUGAUAAGUGAGGGAGAAUACAGAAACACUAUUCGGGAUGAAAAGUAUCGCUGGCCAACCACUGUGCCAUAUGUCCUAGACUGCAGCCUUGGUCAGUGAAUAUAAUAACUGAUUCAGUUCUGUUGAAUUUAUGCUUUGACCUGUAUAUGAUAAUAUAAUUCUAACUUAAUAUUUGCU